rnacentral:lncRNA from 1 species
GGCGGAUUUCCGCGGCAUGCUUACGGUGUGCCUGGCUCUCCCGGGCCUUCUUUGCCUCCCGGGAUUAAAGACAAGCUAAUAUAGGGGCACAAAAAAUCCUCUAAUACAACGUAUAGAACUAGAGAGCAGCUGAUAAAAAUCUGGGCCAGUUUAGAGAAGAGAGUGUUCACAACCAGCUGGGGGAACUGAGUCAUUCAUUCAUCAAAAACGCAUGAAUGUCUACCAAGUGUGAUGUUAGGUACUGGGGGUGAUAAAACGUGUGUCAGACAUCUCUUAUGGCAUGUCACACAUUGGACUAUAAUUGGGACAUUUGUAUCUCCCCGAAAUAGACAUUUCCUGUCUGCAUCUCCUAGCAACAGAAUUCUCCCGUCCUUUGGGAAACCCUCCUCAGGAGCGAGUGGGCUCCUCUGCCAAGCGUGUGCAAUCAUAGAGCCUCUCCUCUUGGCUACCACCACCAGUCUUCCAUCCUCUUCCACCCACACAUGUUCAUUUAAGGAUGGGUGUGUGACCAAGACAGAAGACUUCCCUGGAAUUAUUACAUAAAGAGGGAUAGAUAAGCAUUCUAUUUCCUGUGGGGAAGGUUUGCCCUCACUAGUAGACAAUGAAGCCAAACUGAAGACAGAAACAAAGAUAAGAGAAAGAAGAGGGCAUAUUCUGAUGUUCCCACAAUAGCAAACCAGGAGGUCCCUGGAGCAGCCGGGGUUCCUGCAGCUUCUGGAUUCUAGGAUCUACCCCCAGCAUCCUCUGAAUUUAAACCGUCCAUUGUCUCUGUUUCUCUGUCAUGCUCUGCCCUGGAAGGCUGACAUGAAUACAUCACCAGGCUUCCUUGCCCUGUAGCUUCCUGUUGAGUUGGACCAGUACAAAGCAUUGGCAGAAAAUCAAAAGGAGGGAGAAAGGAAAUAUCAGGAUUUUUCCAUGGUUUCCACGAGAGUUCAGGCAAGAGACAAUGAUGAAAAAGUUGAGUCUGUAUGGAGCCAGGACAACGGAAUCUCAUCCAGGCGACUUGGCAGGGACUAGGGAGGGAUGUCAACAGUUUUCACAUUCAAGGAUAUUAAGCACACUGGCACAGGUACUGAUGAGUGCAAGGAGCAUAAUGUAAGGAGGACCAUGAACUAACACAGAGCUAAAGCAAGAUUCAGCAAUGUGAGCUGUGGUAAAAGUUCCUCAUCUCUGGGCUGCAAACAUCUUGUAUACUGGUGUUAUUAUGAUAAGUUCCACAAAGUCAUAUACACAACAAUAAUUAUCUGCU